CUCAUGUAAGCCUUUGAUUGCCCUUUUUCACGCUGUAUAGCAAUGAUCGCGUACAGAAGAAUUAAUGUCAAUCAGCUAAACCUUUAUGUCUGUUUUUGACCUUGAAUGUUUUAUCUCCAUAAGAAAUUGCGGAGUGACGUCUAUAGCCCUAAGUCAGAAGUAAAGUUGCGUACGAUUGGACCUGUCGUUGCAUUCGUUUUCUCAUGGUGGAACAGAGUGGAACGAAUCGAAUGUGCAGCUCGCGCUUUCUAUGUCUUCAUUUUCUUAUCGCGGCCCGACAGCUUAGCGUGGAGACGAGAUAAGCCUUGCCACGCAAUGGCAUUAACGAAGGCGUUGACGCACUAUAUCAGCCAUCUCCUGUGCAAUACCACGUGACUCGUAUAAAUAUCUACACUUACAUACAAUGUCGAAACAGACUCACGUUAUCGAUCAGCAGAUUACAGCUUCCACAAAAUCAACAGCAGUACCCAGUUUUUCAUAUUCGCGUGAAGCAUGAAGAAUCCCCUUGUGUCCAUCCUGGCAGUGUUGUGCUCUUUUCUUUGUGUGGGUUUGUGUUUGGAGAAACAGCGUUCAGCUUGGAUUCCAUUACAAGAACGCGCAAAGGAGUUCGUCUGUCCACUCGGACAAGAGGGAUUUUUCUGUUCCGAAGCCUGCACCCCAUACUACUAUUAUUGUACUGCGGCAGGCGACUUGUAUCCAUUGGAAUGUCCCCCAGGUACCGUGUAUGAUCCCAAUCAAGGGGAACCACUGAGCAGAGCAGCAUGCGUCGAUGAAAAUGUUUGCAUAGAUCCAGCAGCGACAACUACCCCGUCGGCGACAACUACCCCAUCGGCGACAACUACCCCAUCGGCGACAACUACCCCGUCGGCGACAACUACCCCGUCGGCGACAACUACCCCGUCGGCGACAACUACCCCGUCGGCGACAACUACCCCGUCGGCGACAACUACCCCGUCGGCGACAACUACCCCGAUAACAUCCACUACAACAAGGGCACCAAAUACUUGUCAGGAAACAACACCAAGCAACUUUGCUUGUCCUGGAAAUGGGCUAUACCCUUACGAUGAAUGCUCUUCGCUGUAUUGGCAGUGUUCAAACGACUACGCGUACCUUCAGUGUUGUCCAGCAAAUUUGGUUUUCAAUCCGACUUUAAAAGCAUGUGAUUACGAAACCAAUGUCGCAGGCUGUAAUCCUACGAAAUCUGAUUUCGCCAAUCACGAACAGCUGCAAAUUCAAGGUAAAACUGACCGUAGCGACCGUAUCCCAUCCAAUUCUGCUUCUGAAACGCUUGUAGAGACGUUUGAAUGCCAAACGGACGGCUUUUUCUCUUUUGGCGUUGAUAAAUGUUCGUCGACUUACGUCACUUGUGCUGAUGGCAUUGCUUAUUAUACGGAAUGCCCGGCCGAUGGUAUUUUUGACGAAGGUUCGCAAAUUUGCGUACAAGCUGAUCAGCUGCCUUACUGCUAGAUUUUGAACACAUCAGCAAUCGUACAAAACGAGAACUAAUUAAUUCUUACAAUUUGUCAAUUCCUAUACUUAAUUAAAACUUUACUUUACCGCGAACAAACGGCACACUGACUUUUUUUUAAGUCUCAAGAAGACUUGGUAAUCCUGGGAGUUAAACGAACGCAGUCUUGCAGGAAAUGUUUGUUUGAGGGCGAUGAUGUUGGGCGUAAGGAAACGAAACUUUGCAGCGUUUGAGAUUGGUGCAAUGUUGAUUUGAAAAGUUUAGGGGUCAUCAAUUUUUUAAUGCAAACGUCAAAAGAUGGCCGAUACGUUUUCUAUGCGAUAACGAACAAACAAGUGGUGAAGCAACUAUAGGUCACUUGCUACCUGAUAUCGCAUUUUAUUGUUGACCAAGUUUUUGAGGUUUGAAUUUGUCGGCCUUAUUUACUUGGCCGAGCGUUCCAGACUUUUCAAACGCAGAGAAC